GUGACGGGCGAUGUGUACAUACUUUAAAACUACAUUCAAAUUUAAAAAUUAUUAAAUUUUACUAUUAAAUUCUUAAUAUUAUAAAUAAAUUUAAUAUUUAUAUUUUAAUAAAUAGUUAUUGUAAUUCAUAAACUUUAUAUAUUAUAAUUUAAUAUUGAUCUGAAAUAAAUUAUUUAUUAUAAUUUUAAAAAAUUAAAUUUUAUCAAUAAAUUUUUUUAUAACGAACAUACAAAAAUAUAAAAAUAUAUAUUUAUCUUUUCGUGGAUCAUCAAUUAUGUUACAAAUUCCUCUAAAUAGAUUAAAAUACCGCCAUAAUUAUUAAUUUUCAAAUAUUUAAUCCUAAUAUUUAUAUAUUUAAAUUUAUUAUUAAUAGUAGGGUAUCUAAUCCCUAGUUA
rnacentral:rRNA from 1 species